UUCAAAGGGGAAAAUUUGUUAUUGUUGCUUAUUGAACAUGUGUGAUGAUACUUCAGAGGGUUGAUUGUAACAAUAGUCAACGUAAUUGGAUCAAUUAUAUGCAAUUACGUCGUGUAUAAAAUGUAAAAACAUAUUUCACCCAUAUAAUUGGAGUAAUUAUAUGAUCGUAAAAAGGUUAAAUAUAUAUGCACACCACCUGGCGAAAUUGUCAAAAAGAGAAUAAGAGCCCUGGGGGGUUGGAUAUCAUAUCUGAGAGCGCUAGGCCAACCAGAAUGCCUAAAAUCCCGUAUUCCCCGCUUUGCAAAAUCUAGACGAUUAAAAUAGAAGCGUCCGGUCACGUGGUCGAUAUAAGCCAAUAAAAACGUCAGUCAAAGAUUUUCACGAUCCCGAACCUGCCCGAAAUGCACUUUGUUGUAUUAUGCGGCCAGAAGGAAAAGAAAGGAACAGUCGAACAAGAAAUAAAUUAUAUAAUAUCAAAGAAGCAUAAAAAAACAGUUCUUUUAAGAACUAUUAAGAAGAAUAUAAACGUGGGCUUCCAACAUCUGGAUCACAUGGAACGUUGGCUGUAAGAGCUCUGAUUGCUCAUGAGCAAAAAGUAGAAGUAAAAGCCACUGCUGAACAUACAAUUUGCUUCUGCGUAACAUGCGAAAAGACAUUUGAUUCAGACGAAGAGCUGACUUGGAAUGUUUGGAAGGGUAAGUCGGUUUAAAAUAACUGAAACAAAUACCCUUUUUGGUUGGUUCGUUUUUAACGUAAUUUCGAACGUUUUCUUCUCCCUUUAAAAUUUGAACUGUACAUUCUAAUUUAAGUAGUUGUGGAUUAAAAUUUGCCAUACACUCAAUUAUAGUGCCGUAUUUUUCCUGCGCGCAGAAAUUGAGGUAACUUUUCUGAUUAGUUUGUUUACAUUUUUACCUCCAUUUCUGCGUGCGCAUCGGGCAUUACAUAAUCACUUAGAUGCGUGCGCAAGUAAAUAUCAGGACUGUGAUUCCAUGUAUUGGUAUUCCAUCUAAUCAUGUGCAAAAUUUGAUUGUUGUUUUAAAGAUGAGAAUAGAUUUCAGCUAUAAAAUGGCUACUGACCGGUUUUGAUUCUGCCCUGUAAAAUACAAAGCCAUUUGUCAGGGGCACAGACCUCACAAGCUUGGUCUGUACUUUUGAGCCAGGUUUUGUAUUUCACAGUACGUUAUCAAAACCGGUCAGUAUUUGUUUAUUAAUGAUUAGGCAGACGUCACAAAUAUUUGGUGUUAGAGUCACCCGACUGACCCUAAUUUUUGAUCGAAAUUUUUGAUAUACUGAGUCGGAAAAACUAAAAUGACAAAAAAUAUUAUACGCUUGUUGUCUCUCCACAGCGAUUGCAGCGAUUGUUGUGCUUCGCUUUAAAAUGUGAAAAGUGUUCACGCGGAAACUGCCGGAGAUGCCAAAGUUAUCAUUAAAUAUCGGCGAUUUAAUGGCGCGCGUUAAUGGCUGGAUGGUUGGAUAAAAUUUUUUGAAAUUUUGAGUUAUCAUUCGCCGAUCUACCGACCGACUCUAUUUUUGGUGCUCAAAUGACUCUAACACCCGAUAUUUGUGACGUCCGCCUUAUGUAAUUUGGAUGCCAGCUAUCGUUCAAAGUGUUUCCACUCUUUGAAGGCUUGAAAUGCAUAAAGAACUGUCAAUUCUGAAUUCCAGCUUGUAUUGAGGCUUUCGGUGGUAAAGUAGCUGUAUAUUUAUUUUUACUAUAAAGCCAAUGUUUAGCUAGCUACUAAUAAAAAGCCUGUAAUUAGUAAGUUAAAAAGAACACCCACUGUGCUGAAUGAUAAAAGAUAAAUGGGCUGUGGUAUUUCUUUUGAAUAAACUUCACUUCUUUUAUUCUGAACUUCUGGUAACCAAUUAAACCGGGGCUAUGGUAACAUUCAGAUUCACUCACCCAUGUUGAAUCUCCAUCAAGAGGAAUCGAGCCCCGGUCAGAGUACGAGAGCUAUAACCACUAAUCUACGGCCCCACAAGUAACCUCGAGAUUUCCUCCUUUACACAAACCAGGGUUUCAAAUAACCUGGAAAAUACUUAAACUUGAAGUAUAGACCUAUAUUUUGAAAUUUUAACCCCCCCUGACGGUUUUUUUUUAAUAACUCCUGAUUGCUUUGUUAUAUGGCUAUGAUACUUACUGAGUUUUAACAUUUAUCUAUUAGACACCUGCAUGCUAAUUUUUUAGGUCCCAUACCUUUCAGAGGCUUUGAUAUUGGCCAUUACUCGAAACUACCCCUAAAAAUCUCUAUGAAAUCCUUAUAAUGGGGAAAAUAUAAUAACUCCUGUUAGGAUUAUCCUUAGAACUUGAAACUUGCAACACAACUUUGUUUUAUCAAGAAGAAUCAUUUGGAAUAAUUUGAACACGUGACUAAUUCGAUUUCCCGAUUUUGUCGGAUUUUACCCGAAAAUCGGAAAAAACGGAUUUUCUGGAAAUUUUUGGCAAUUUUUUAUCCGAUCCAUGUAAAAACCGGAAGAUAUGUUAAAUAACUUUUAUUUAGCUUUCAGAAACUUCAAACAGAAUGUAAAAAUUCGCUCUAGAACAAAAGUAAUUAUAUUUCAAGCAGAUAGUGGCAUUUUAAAAUCGGAAUCCGCCCCCCCCCAGUCAUAGUUUGUGCGAAAAACCCCGGACCGAAUAGGGUUAAAACAGAUGAUCAUUCCAAUUUAUUUUUAAAAAAAUUAUAAUUUGUUAGGAUUUGUGCGUUUAAUGUUUACAAAAUCAAGAUUUUUAAUUUUAAAAAUGUUACCACAAGAUUUUUAGUUCCGUAAAUUCUCAGUGAUCUGCUGUUAUAGGACCAAAAAAUAACUUUUUGAGGAAAAUGAUGAUAAUAGGUAUAAUUUACAUAUAAAAAUUGAUUCUUUCCAGUAUACAAUUUCUGGCAACAAUAACUUGCGCUGUUGAUUGUCAUAAUACUUAUUACUGCCAUUCAUUGGAAAGCCAUGCUAUUAAUAGUACACAUUAACUGUGGAAAUUUCCUAUUAAAAAGUUUAAAUUGGUGUUUUUUUUUUCAAUUAUCUGCUGAAUAAUAAUUUUAUAAAAAGAUUAAAAAAUAAUUUUUUGAGGAAAACGUUAGUUUUUAAAAUCUGAUGUGGUGGAAAAGUAGGCCAGGGUUGAUUUUUUAUAUAAAGAGAAUAUUUUUUUAAAUAUAAUUUCCACCAACAUGAAAUGCAGCUAAUUCCAUACUGAAUACAUGUUCUGAAAGAGCUGGCACAUUUAUAUUUAUUUUUGAAAAAAAGAGACAGUGUACGUCAUCUAUUCAAAGAUAUCUGAGUUAAGCAUAUAAUUAUAUUUCUGUAGCCUGAGCUAGAUUGAAUUUUGUUAAUUAUUUUGAGUAAGCUUAUUUUUUAAAGAAAGACAAAUAGUGCUGUGUGUUCACUUAGUAGUAGGAAUACUUUUUGCCACUUGAAAUACAAUUGAUCUGAAGAUAUUUUUUGUCUUGUAUGAAAGAAAUUUGGACAAUACUUUAAGGCAAAAACUUCUAUUGUUCUUUGCUCACGUGAUCAUUAUUGGGAAAUCUUUUCUUCUUUAAUGUUAGAUGUGGCCAUGCUGGCUUUAUGCAUAUUGGUUGAUUUUAAUUCGGGUUGCACUGAAAAAUUAUUAUAUAAAAAACUCAAUUUUAAUAUCUCAAAGAAAACUUAGUUAAAGGAGCACUCCAGUGAAAAAAAAAUAUUUAAAAAAAAAUGUUAUAUAAAACAUAGAAUCGGAUAAUUCUCUUCAUGAGAAAGACUUUACAAAGCUACAGCCACUCGACUUCGAACCUCUUCUGUCUCACAAGGGAGAAAUUAAUAAUGAUGCAAAGUGAUGAGGUGUCUUUUACUGGCUCAAGCAACGUUCUUAGCAAAAUAUUUAUUUUUUUUAAGAAAUAAAUAUACUUAAUCGCUUUUUUUAACAUUCUUUUCGUCAAAAAACUUUAUCAUUUGCUUCAUUAAAAAAUCUUUUAUACUUUACAAGCCAAUUUAUUUUUUUUUACAGUUCAGCAAUAUUUUUCCUCUGCACGCGCUUUUUUUGCGCACAAAUGUAAACAAAUUUUAUGUAACGUUAAAAUUUUCUCCGUGAUGGAGUACCAUUGAAAUGCGUGAUAUAAAAUCAAAUAUGUUCGGGCUAGAUAAGUUGGUAAAACGGGGUAUUAUUAUUGUAUAAAUAAAAAUCAAUCUUAUGAUUAUGGUAAGUCAUAAAUGUGUUGCAGAAGCUACUGACUUACAAGUGGUUGUUUUGACAAAGCUGUUUUAGAAACUGCAUUAUCAGCAUUACAUGCAGCCAUUAUAAAGUUACAAAGAUUGAAGAAAAUGGGUACAUUUACCUCCUGAAAAUACUUGGCAUGUCCUUCCAUCAAAAAAGCUUCUUUUUUGAAAAACAAAGAAUAGAAACUUGAGCGCUACGAAAGAUACAUGUGUAACUAGAAAGCUUUUUUGUCGGUGUUUGUAUUGGAAAUUCGUAUAAUGUUCUCUUAUUUAAUAUAAAAAUGUACAAAACGUUAUUUGGUUGAGUUCUGUGGAUAUAAGUACAAAUAUUGAGAUAAGAAGAAAUGAGAAACUUUAAUCGCGUUCACUAGCUAAAAUGGCAUUUUUACAAAGUAGCAGAGUAUCUUAAUAUGGAAGUUUAUUUCCUGCAGAUAUCUUUUAAAAGAACUAUCUGUGAAGUGCGCCAACCAAAUAUAAAAACUUUGAUCGCUUGGUAGAUCACCUGCACAACGUAUUUUGUUUAGCCGUUUUUGAGUUCUAUUUUUUUCACAGACGGGAUUCUGUGAAAACUUACUUCUUUACACUUCUCUGAUCGAUCGGUACAUAGAAACACAGAGCAACUAACCAUUUUUUAAAGAUUUAAACGUAAAUUACAUACAAAAAGCGAUUUAAUGUAAGCUGUAUUUAUAGGUCUUAACAUGCGCUCGCUUAAACUUUCUGCACGAUGUGAUGUCAUUAUUUAUAAUCGGGUCCGGUCCGUAAUGAAAUCGCGCCUGUCUGUUUUUUAUGAGAAAAAAAUUGAAUAUGCGAAGGCUUGUACAACAAUUUUAAAUAAGAAAAACAAGUAAAGUAAGUUUUUUUUUGAUUUCUUAUGCUUUUCUGAGUACGUAUAAAACAAACAAAAAAAAGAAAAGUGAUUUUUACUGGAGUUCCCCUUUAACUAGGCUAGACAUGUCUGAAAUCUGUACAAUACUUGUUAAACUGAGACAGUGUAGAGAUACUGCUAACUUGGUACCAUAAUUAUUCAAAUAAGUAGUCAAAUUUUUAUUCAGUAUAUUGACUUUCAGGAGGGAUGUUAUAUGUACAGGUAAUAUUGCCAGUUGAAAUACCCCUAAGUUGAAGUAUAUCCCUCUUUUCAGUCAGCUAAUUUCCUACCUCAAGGCUUUAUUGCGACUUAUGCUGAAAAAUUGAAUAAGCAAUUUCUGAAACUUUUACAUCCUGUUUUAAUUUAUAACAGUCGUGGAGUGGUGGAAUUAGUUUUACAGUGUAAUGAUUUUAAAAACUAGAUAAAUUUCUGUUGUUUUAAUUUAAUGAUGAUGCGCAAUGUUUUUUGUUCACAACUCUUCUCGGGAUUUUUCUGUUCUAAUUUAUACUUUGCUUUUUAUGUUAAUCAAUUUGGUGGUAAUUUUUGCUGUUUUUUUUGUUUGUUUUUUUGUAUUUCUAAUGCAGGUAAAACCAAAAAAAACUUUGAUGAAAAUGAUUCUUGGAAGAGUGGGACAAGGAAGUUUUCUGGUAACAAAAUUAGUUUUGUGUAAAUACUGAUACUAUGUGUGACCUUUUGUAUUUCUGUGUUAUGUUAUUUAAAAAAUAUUUCCAUUGUUGUAAAACCAUGAAAGUUAUUGGUUCGAAUCCAAUCCAUCUUUAAAAGGUGGUAGUUCAAAUGGAAGAACAACAUGGUGUGUAAUUAGUUUCAUACUGCAACAAACAAUAAUGCAAAUCAAUUCAAAAAAUUUUACAAACAAAUGUUUCAAAAAAAGAGGUAACUAUAAGAAAAGAAAUGAAAGAAGGAAAUUUUUUAAUUUACUCGGGAUAUACGUUCAGUUAUUCAGGUUUUGCUGAGCUAUAACUACAAUCAUGUUCAUAAAUUAUUGGAAAAACGGCUUUUGAGGCUUUUUUCAGAGUUUCCCCCCUCUCCCCCAACAGUCAGUGUUGAUUUUGUGUUGAUUUGUGCCCCAAAAUACUGCCGGCGACUCUGGAAAAGACCUCCAACCAACACUGAAGAGUGGGGGGAGGGGGAAAGUGGUUUUUCCAAAACUAUUAUGAACAUGAUUGUAGUUGCCAUGUGAAAAUCAAAUCCAAUAAGUAAAAUUUAGUUAAAAAAAUAAUUUUUUGAGGAAACUAAUUUAUCACACCGCAGUUUGUAACAUGUAAUUGGUAAUAAUGUAAUAAUGUAAUUGGUUCAAGAAGCUUGAAAGGUGGAUAUAUUUUGGAUAAGGUAGAAGAUUGGAUUAAUGAAUUAAAGAUGCUGAGUAAAAUUGCUAAAACAGAGUCGCAAGGGACAUAAAGUUGUUUUAUCAGUGGCUGGCUACAAGCAUAAAUUAACAUACUGUAUGCGAACAUACCACACAUAUAUAAUUAUUGGAAGAAGUACUCGUAGUUAUUAAUUCGAAUUAAUACCAGCACUGACGGGAGGUAUUAAAGUAAACAAUAACGAGAGACAACUGCUGUCACUCCCGGUUAAACUUGGUCGUCUUACGAAUAUUCUAAAACUUAUCACAAAUAACUGAAUAUCUUGGUAAACAAAUAAAAAAACAGACUCGACAAUAUGAAGAAGAUCCAGAACUGAAACAAAAGAAAAAACAAUCAAACAAAAUAAAUUGCUAAGAUUAGUGUCAUUCUUGAUCAUGUCAGAAGUGAAAUGUGUAAGCAGGAAAUCAGACUGAACGAUAUCAACCAGGAAGCAGUGUAUCUAGUUGACUGACUACCUUCAAGGAACGAGAGAUACACAAUUAACAAGCUAUGCUUCUGGGCUCAGAUUCGAAUUUCAAGUUCACAAUUGAUCAUGCUUUGUCAUGCAAAUAAUGUGGCUUCCUUUCGCUUAGACAAUGAAAUCCGUAAUGUCACUGGGAUGUAACUAAAAGAGGUUUGUCAUGAUGUACGCAUUGAACCGUGUCUACAACAGUUACCUGGUGAGCCAUUGAGCCAGUGGACAGCGAAUGUUUCUCAGGAAUCGAGAGUUAUGUAUGCACAAGAGGCUUUUGGAACACUGGUCAAAUGGCAUUUUUAGAUGCGAAGGUGUGCUACCAAAAGCAUAUGAUGUAAAUAAAAAGGAAAAAAAGAAAAAUUACAAUAAACUUAUUUUGCAAGUAGAGCAUGAAACUUUAACGCCACUAGCGAUAUCCGUGUGUGGCGGAAUGGGUCGCGUGUGUCGAAAGUUCUAUACUCGGCUUUCCGAAAUGAUUUCUGAAAAGCGUAAACAACAUUUUUUAAAACUUUCGGCAUGGAUAUGACGUAACAUUUGUUUUGCGCUUAUCAAGUCUAUAUGCAUAUGUGUUCGAGGAAGUCGAUCAGUCUUUUCAUCUAACCUUGUCGCAUCUCUGUCAGUGGAUCCUAAAGUAGUUCUGCUACCUUUAUAUAUCAUACUUAUGUCGACAUCAACUGAAUAGCAUUUUUCUUUUAAUAAAGCGGCGAUAUUUCGGUAUAGAAAAAUUAUAACAAAUUAUUUUAUUAAAAUGUAUGUACAGUUGACUCUCUCUAAUCCGAAUCUCAAGGGGGAUAAUUCUCUUUCAGAUUACAGAGAGUCGGAUAGUAGAAAGUAGAUUAUGAGAGUUUCUUAAGGAAAAUCGACGCUGAUUUUUAAUUUGUUCGGAUUAUAGUUAAAGAUUCGGAUAAUAGAGAUUCGGAUUGGAGAGAGUCAACUGUAUAUACGUUUUAAUUAAAUAUAAUGUUCAAAAAAGGACCAUAAUUUUUUUGUAACAUACUGUGUGCUUCUAUGCUACCUUCGUGUAGUAUGGAUGGAGCAUGAUGACGGGUCUAUUCAGAGCAAUACGCUAACUAUCUUGUGAAAUGCCUUAGUCUAUUAGAAUUACUAAAACCUUUUAGAAAUAACUCAACAAAUU